AUUACCUCUGUGAAGGGGGCACAUCUGGGCAUUACCCCUAUGAAGGGGGCACAUCUGGGCAUUACUGUAAAGGUGACACAUCUUUGGGCAUAGCAAGACUAAGGAGUGGAAUGCAGGAAACUUUCUCUAGAAAUGCCUUGUGUUGCAAUAUUAGGAGUCCUCUCACACUGGCAUCAGACAUAGUAAUCACAUAUUAAGAAAUAGGCUCAGGUCCAAUCACUUCCACCACUACCACACCUCGCCAGUCACAUCCUUCAUAGACCUCCUGCUCCCAUCUGACUCGUCCUCACCUUCUCCUUCGACGUUCUCUGAUGCCUGGCUGAGAGUCCAGAGGGGGUCUGUACGGGCAGGUGUGGGGAGAUGGGGUCUUCAGUCGCCGCAAAACUAAUAAUAGUACUGCCCCACAGUAUAAUUAGGAAUGGUGGCGCAGGCGCGUCUCUUCUGCAGCUGAGCGCAAGUUCCACCUUUGGUCACUGCACGGGCCGCAUGACACAGCUUUGCGGGCCGGAUGUGGUCCGCAGGCCGUAGCACGGCAGACAGCCUCGCUUAACCCUCUCAGUCAGACCAUCACUGCGGCCAGAAAGGGAAGAGGAUGAAUGACUCAAUUAGAGCAUCACACAUUACACUGGUAUGUGAUGGAGAUGGUACCAGGAGCUGGGAUACUCAAUGUACUGUUGCCCACCAGGGAUAAAGAUGCUGCUGGGACCAUUGACCACCAGGGACCAUUAUGCUGAAGGAAACCUAGAUCACUAGGGACCUGAUGCCUUAUGUUAAAUCAUCACCAGAAUCUGUAUCCUGAAUUUACAAGAGUAGUGAAAAGGCACUAAAUUCACCUGUACCACUGACCACCAGGGUCCAUAUGCUGUAUAUACCCGCUGCUUGCUACUACGUA